GGGAAGGAUGGCCUAUUGUGCUGC
rnacentral:piRNA from 1 species